rnacentral:rRNA from 1 species
CCUACGGGAGGCAGCAGUGAGGAAUAUUGGACAAUGGGCGCAAGCCUGAUCCAGCCAUGCCGCGUGCAGGAUGACGGUCCUAUGGAUUGUAAACUGCUUUUGCACAGGAAGAAACAACAUUACGUGUAAUGUCCUGACGGUACUGUGAGAAUAAGGAUCGGCUAACUCCGUGCCAGCAGCCGCGGUAAUACGGAGGAUCCAAGCGUUAUCCGGAAUCAUUGGGUUUAAAGGGUCCGUAGGCGGUUUAGUAAGUCAGUGGUGAAAGCCCAUCGCUCAACGGUGGAACGGCCAUUGAUACUGCUAGACUUGAAUUAUUAGGAAGUAACUAGAAUAUGUAGUGUAGCGGUGAAAUGCUUAGAGAUUACAUGGAAUACCAAUUGCGAAGGCAGGUUACUACUAAUGGAUUGACGCUGAUGGACGAAAGCGUGGGUAGCGAACAGGAUUAGAUACCCUGGUAGUCCACGCCGUAAACGAUGGAUACUAGCUGUUGGGGGCAACUUCAGUGGCUAAGCGAAAGUGAUAAGUAUCCCACCUGGGAGUACGUUCGCAAGAAUGAAACUCAAAGAGUAGUACGACGAGNGAGAGACGACGGACGACGACGAGGAGGAGGNG